rnacentral:rRNA from 14 species
ACCCGCUGAACUUAAGCAUAUCACUAAGCGGAGGAAAAGAAACUAACCAGGAUUGCCUCAGUAACUGCGAGUGAACCGGCACCAGCCCAGCCUGUGAAUCGCGCAAGCGACUUGUGGAGUGGAGACUUGUCCCUGACCCUGCUGGUGUGAGUGUAACUUGGUUGGAAUGCCAGGCCGCAGAGGGUGCAAGCCCCGUGCCGCUCACGCUGCAGACAAGGGAGAGUUCGAAGAGUCGGGUAGUUCGGGACUGCUGCCCUAAGUGGGAGAUAGACUUCUUCCAAGGCUAAAUAACGACGAGAGACCGAUAGCGAACAAGUACUGUGAAGGAAAGAUGCAAAGCACUUUGAAAAGAGAGUUAAAAGACUUGAAAUCGCUGAGGAGGAAGCAGUGGGACGUCGGCUCGACUGAGUGGAAACUUGGCUAAGGCCCUGUGGGAGCUCAGUCAUAGCAACACCUGCGAGGUCGGAGCUGCGAGGAACUAGUUUGGUCCUCUCCAGGCCGAGAUCAACGCAAGUGUUGUGCGGCGUCUCACUGGCCCGUCUUGAAACACGGACCAAGGAGUCUAACAUGUGUGCGAGUAGUCGGGUAGAAAGCCUCACUGCGCAACGAAAGUGAGCCUUGCGAAAUUUGCAGCAAGGGCCGCAUUAGCGCGCUGAGCAGACAUGUUGGGACCCGAAAGAUGGUGAACUAUGCUUGGGGAAGGCGAAGCCAGGGGAAACUCUGGUGGAGGCUUGUAGAGAUACUGACGUGCAAAUCGUUCUUCUAACCUGAGUAUAGGGGCGAAAGACCAACCGAACCAUCUAGUAGCUGGUUCCCUCCGAAAUUUCCCUCAGGAUAGCAGGAACCUAGCAGUUUUACCGGGUAAAGCGAAUGAUUAGAGGGCCGGGAGUUGCAACAACUUCCACCUAUUCUCAAACUUUGAAUUGGUAAGCGCUGCAGUUGCUUAGUUGAACUGCAGCACGAAUGCGGGUUCCUAGUGGGCCAUUUUUGGUAAGCAGAACUGGCGAUGAGGGCUGAACCUAACGCGAGGAUAAGGCGACCCACUGGCGGCUCAUAGAUACCAGAAAAGGUGUUAGUUCAUUUAGACAGUAGGACGGUGGCCAUGGAAGUCGGAACCCGCUAAGGAGUGUGUAACAACUCACCUGCCGAAUGAACUAGUCCUGAAAAUGGAUGUCGCUAAGCCGCCGGCCGAUGCCUCGCCAUCCUAGACAAAGGAUGAGUAGGAGGGCGUGAGGGCCGCGCAGAAGCAUAUGCGUGAGCGUGUGUGGAGCGACUCUCAGUGCGGAUCUUGGUGGUAGUAGCAACUAUUCAAAUGAGAACUUUGAAGACUGAAGUGGAGAAGGGUUUCAUGAGAACAUCAAUUGGUCAUGAGUGACUCGGUCCUAAGGUCAGGGGUAGUCCCGCGAAGACGCAGUCCAGGCCGAAAGGGAAGAUGGUCAAAAUUCCAUCAGCUAGCGGUGGGUGCUGUGUGGCAACACUACUGAACUCAGAGACGUCGGGGCGAGGUCCCAGGGAGAGUUCUCUUCUCUUCUUAACAAAUCGCUGCCCUGGAGGUCAUUGCGACGAGAUAGGGCUUUAGAUUUGGCAGAGCAGCACGCCUCCUGUGCUGUCUGGUGUACCUCCUUCGGCCCUUGAAAAUCUGAGGGAAACCUUAUCGCACGCUAGGCCGUACCGAUAACCGCAUCAGGUCUCCAAGGUGAACAGCCUCUAGUCGAUAGAAUAAAGUAGAUAAGGGAAUUCGGCAAAAUAGAUCUGUAACUUUGGGAAAAAGAUUGGCUCUGAGGGUUAGGCCGUAGUCUUCUGAACCUCGCCAAGCGGUCCAGUGUGUGAGGCAACUCCGCACGACUGCUGAAACGAGCUAGGAAAGACGAAAGCAGUGAAUAACCGACUCAGAACUGGAGCAGCGAGAGGAAUCCGACUGUUUAAUUAAAACAAAGCAUUGUGACGGCUGCAAACGGUGUUGACACAAUGUGAUUUCUGCCCAGUGCUCUGAAUGUCAAGGUGAAGAAAUUCACUCAAGCGCGGGUAAACGGCGGGAGUAACUAUGACUCUCUUAAGGUAGCCAAAUGCCUCGUC